GACGAACGCUGGCGGCGUGCCUAAUACAUGCAAGUCGAGCGAACGGACGAGAAGCUUGCUUCUCUGAUGUUAGCGGCGGACGGGUGAGUAACACGUGGACAACCUACCUAUAAGACUGGGAUAACUUUGGGAAAUCGGAGCUAAUACCGGAUAAUAUUUUGCACUGCAUGGUUCAAAAGUGAAAGACGGUCUUUCUGUCACUAAUAGAUGGAUACGCGCUGCAUCAGCUAGUGGGUAAGGUAACGGCUUACCAACGCAACGAUGGAUAGCCGACCUGAGAGGGUGGUCCGCUACCCUGGAACAGAGGAACAGUCCACACACCUACAGGAGGCAGCGGUAGAGAAUCUUCCGCGAUGGACGAGAGCGUGACAGUGCAACGCCGCGUAAGUGAUGAAGGUCUUCUGAUCGUUGAACUCUGUAGUUAGGGAGGAACAUAUGUGUAAGUAACUGUGAACAUCUUGACGGUACCUAAACAAAAAGCCACGGCUAACUACGUG
rnacentral:rRNA from 1 species